CGCACGCGACCAUGUACCACGCGUGCACGAGCGAAAAGAACUGAAUCCAAUCAUUGAAAUAAUUUUGUUUGCAGAGGCAAUUCACGCAAGGGAGGGAUAGCAAUUUGAUGGCUUGCGAGUGACAGCACGAGCCGAAUUUAUUGCCCGUGGAAGUACCCACGAUAGGAAUACACUGUUGGGAACAUGGUGGCGCCGCUGACGGUACCUAUGUAAGUGGAAUUACUUUAUUGGAAGUACCCACGACGGGGAAAAUAGUCUCUCUAGUAUUGUCGGUGAAUGGUGAUGGUGGUGGUGGCGAUGGCUACUUUCCUCUGCUCAGAGAGAACCCCUGCAUGUCCUUCGUCGUGAUGCAAAAGAGCAGUGGAUGCAGAAAAUGUCUCUACCUGCCAGGAUGGUAAAAGAGCACGAACUGAAUCACCUGUUGGUGCAGAAGGCUUGGAGGACUGCUUUUGAAACAGUUGUUCAAAUUUCCUGCACCUCUUCGUAGCCGUUGUCUGAUUGCUGCAUUCUGGGGAGACUGAAGUUAAGAAGCCCUCACCGACACCAACACUAUGUCGCUGUGUUGUUUUCUUCCAAGGUCGGGCACAGUAAAGGAGACGACUCUGUAUCAAGACACUACCCAGAGGGAGGAUGUUGGCCUUCUCCUGAUGGGAAAAUGUCUUCUUUCUUAUGGCGUGGCCAGGACUGCACUGACCCUACCAUCCACUCUACCUCUCCGGAAAGGGACUUGACAACCAGUCAAGAUGGAAGUGCAGAGAUAUACCAGCGCUUCUAGCAUUAACUGCCAAUUUGCACUGACACAGCAAGACUCCCCAACAGUCAAAAAGAAUAAUAUAGACGUGCAGAAAAUGUAGGAGAGCGAUGACAUCAGAAGGACACUCUCAGGUUCAGGGUACCUGUACUGCCCCAAUAAAGUGGGUCAGAUCCCAAAACGAGGUUGGCCGAAGCAAAAAAAAUAGAAGAGCCUGCCUUGAAUUGAAUAUGAGGAAGAAGAAGAAGACAAAGAAAGAGAAAGAGUAGGAAUUUGUUUGUGUAAACUUUGUUUCCUCUGUCUAGGCUGCCAUCGCAUUAUAGCAGCCAACAGUGUGUGUGUGUGUGUGUGUGUGUGUGUGUGUGUGUGUGUGUGUGUGUGUGUGUGUGUGUAUAUGUGUGUGUGUGUUUGCGUUUGUGUGCACACGCUUGUGUGUGUGUGUGUGUGUUUGCAUGUGUGUAUAUUCUGCUAAUCUUGACUUAAAUUUCCGUAUCUGGGCAUAUUGUGUUCUGUAUGUGAAUUUAUCUUCAUUCCCGUAGCUAUGCAGAAGACGUUACUUCAGUAACGUCUGGCGCUAGCCAGGGUCCACACAGCUUUAAUUUGGUAUUUGUGUGUUUGUUUGUUUGUGUCACGCCUGGCGCUAUCCGUAUCUGACGGCAAAAAAAGCAUAGGGACGUUAUAAAUUUUUCAAUUCUCCUAUUUUUUCAGGCAUAUGCUGGGAUUCGAACCCGCACUAUCGCCCUACAUGCAUUCCCCCAUACACUUCGCAUUCAUACCCAUUCUUCCAAGUUGCUUCACGUUAUGAUCUUGCGUUUGAAAGCCCUAUUUGAAUAUUGCUGGCAGCUAUAUGUGGCCAGCUGUGUUUGAUGGUACGGUACGGUACGGGAGACGGUGUCGUAUUACCGUCGAUCGUACCUGUCCCGUACCUAUCCCCUACCGUACCGUGCCAUCAAAGACGGCUGGCCACAAUGCAUAUUCAAAUACUAGUAGGGCUUUCAAAUGCAAGAUCACAAUGUGAAGCAACUUGGAAGAAUUAGUAUG